rnacentral:rRNA from 1 species
UACGUAGGGUGCGAGCGUUAAUCGGAAUUACUGGGCGUAAAGCGUGCGCAGGCGGUUAUGUAAGACAGUUGUGAAAUCCCCGGGUUCAACCUGGGAAUUGCAUCUGUGACUGCAUAGCUAGAGUACGGUAGAGGGGGAUGGAAUUCCGCGUGUAGCAGUGAAAUGCGUAGAUAUGCGGAGGAACACCGAUGGCGAAGGCAAUCCCCUGGACCUGUACUGACGCUCAUGCACGAAAGCGUGGGGAGCAAACAGG